GGUGGGGGGAGGCGAGAGGCUUUUGCCCAUAUCUGAAUAUAUCUGUAUAUAAUUGUAUAUAUUUUCUUGUAUGAUUCAUUAGUGUUUUAAUUAAAGCUGUGUAGUUUAGUUUUCAAUCCAGCCAAGUCUCUCUCUCUUUCUCUCUCUCCUUCCCUACCUGGGGGGGGGGGGGGAGGGGAUCGAGAGCAUUGUUGUCGGACCUGAGUCAAACGGUGACAUGAGGGAAAGCCAUCUCUUGAUGAGCUAUUAAGGGACUGCUUAAAUACUUACUGAAAAGUGUAAAGAGAAUAGAAAAGUAAAAGGUCAUUCAGUAAUCAAAGAUGAGUUUUCUGAGUAUAAUUUCUGCUUAGAAGAAAGGUGACACUUCUUUCUGUCUCUUUAAGGGUACGAUGAGACCAAAUUCUACUGGUAAACUCCUGUAUUUGCCCCCAUAAUGUAUCUUUUAAUUCUUUUUGAAGACAAUUCAGGCGGAGAGACAAGAGAUGAGGUCAACAAAUGCCUACAAAAUCUUAAAUCAAUCAACUUUCCGUUAAAAUUAUCACAAAAUUUAAAACACUAAGAAUGGGUUAAUUAUAUUUCAGAUCUGAAAAUAGAAGUGGGUGGAAAACCACUGCAGAACAUGCAAAUAAGAAGAAUGAAACAAGAAGGAAAAAAUAGAAGUCAUUUUCUGGAAACACAGGACGAACCCAGUCUAGAAUUAAAAUAAAAAAGCAAAAGAAGAAACCCAUUCACUACUUCCCAUUGGCAGGCAGAUGUUUAGCCAUCUCCAGCUUUUAUAUCUGAGCGUGACAUCAUAUUGUGCUGGUUUGGUUUGGUGGGAUUUUUGGUAGUGGGGGAAGGGCCCCAGGAGUGGCUCCCAUAAGAAGCUGAGAAGCUCCCCCUGCUCCAAAACCAGCCAAGGAGCCAUUAGGGAGACAAUAGAUGCACCUCUGCGAUUAGCAUACGAAAUAACUGAUAUAAGACCUGAGCAGAGGGAGCAUUUAAAGAAAGAAAAGCUGAGCUGGAGAGGUGAAAGGCAGUGCUAGGGUGAACAUCCCCCGGUGGUUUAUGAGGAAGAAGGGGAAGAAGGUGCCCAAGCAGAAGUUUCCCUGCAACCUAUGGCGAGAUGGCAGGCUGUCCCCCUGCAUUCAAGGAGGAACGUGGUGGAACAUUCCCUGAAGGCGCCAGGAGGGGUGAACUUGGCCAGUGGACUCGGGUUUGCUGCCAGUGGACUCUGAUUACGCAGCUUUGGAAGACCCCGGCGCCAGGGGAGUUGGCUGUUCCCGAAAGAGCCUGUGACUCUGUGAGAAACCCACGCUGGAGCAGCUUGCUCCAGACCUUGUGGGAAGGACUCAUGAAGGAGAGGUUCGUGGAGGACUCUCUUCCAUGGGAGGGACCCCGUGGGGAAGCAGGGAAGGACUGUAAGGAAUUCUUCUUCCUGAGGAGGAAGGAGCGGCAUGAACCACCAGCCUGUGAACUGACUAAACCCCAUUCCCUGUCCCCCUGUGCCACUGGGGGGAAGGAGGGAGAGAAAUCGGGAACAAAGUAAUUUGGGCCCGGGAAGAAGGGACGGGUGGGGGUAAUGUCUGUAAGCACUGCUCUUUGUGUUGUCCGUGUCCCGUGUGUAUUUGAUUAGCGUGAAAUUAAAUUAUUAUUUUUUUCCCCCCAA